CCUACGGGAGGCAGCAGUGAGGGAUAUUGGUCAAUGGACGAGAGUCUGAACCAGCCAAGUAGCGUGAAGGAUGACUGCCCUAUGGGUUGUAAACUUCUUUUAUAUGGGAAUAAAAUGUUCCACGUGUGGGAUUUUGUAUGUACCAUAUGAAUGAGGAUCGGCUAACUCCGUGCCAGCAGCCGCGGUAAUACGGAGGAUCCGAGCGUUAUCCGGAUUUAUUGGGUGUAAAGGGAGCGUAGGUGGAUUGUUAAGUCAGUUGUGAAAGUUUGCGGCUCAACCGUAAAAUUGCAGUUGAAACUGGCAGUCUUGAGUACAGUAGAGGUGGGCGGAAUUCGUGGUGUAGCGGUGAAAUGCUUAGAUAUCACGAAGAACUCCGAUUGCGAAGGCAGUUCACUGGACUGCAACUGACACUGAGGCUCGAAAGUGUGGGUAUCAAACAGGAUUAGAUACCCUUGUAGUC
rnacentral:rRNA from 1 species